rnacentral:misc_RNA from 1 species
CUACCACAAGUCGACGACGUCCUUGCAAAAGGAUGUGCAGUCGGACAUUGAGCCUUGCCGGCCGUUCGCGGCUAAGCUGGCUUCAAAUAGAGCGAGAUACACAGCGAUCCUUCUGACACAUCAGGAGUGAUUUGUGACGUGGAUAACUUCACUACUCGUGAACCUUCCAAUACGUGACAGUCUCUCAUUCAACUGCUGUGCUAGUGGAAAGCAACGUGUGUUGGAUCGUCAUUCGUGACAACUCUUUUGA